CCUACGGGGUGCUGCAGUGAGGAAUAUUGGUCAAUGGCCGCAGGGCUGAACCAGCCAAGUCGCGUGAGGGAUGACGGUCCUAUGGAUUGUAAACCUCUUUUGUCAGGGAGCAAAGGGCGCCACGUGUGGCGCUUUGCGAGUACCUGAAGAACAAGCAUCGGCUAACUCCGUGCCAGCAGCCGCGGUAAUACGGAGGAUGCGAGCGUUAUCCGGAUUUAUUGGGUUUAAAGGGUGCGCAGGCGGAAUGUCAAGUCAGCGGUAAAAUUUCGGGGCUCAACCCCGUCGUGCCGUUGAAACUGGCGUUCUUGAGUGAGCGAGAAGUAUGCGGAAUGCGUGGUGUAGCGGUGAAAUGCAUAGAUAUCACGCAGAACUCCGAUUGCGAAGGCAGCAUACCGGCGCUCAACUGACGCUCAUGCACGAAAGCGUGGGUAUCGAACAGGAUUAGAUACCCGAGUAGUC
rnacentral:rRNA from 1 species